rnacentral:piRNA from 1 species
UGAGAAGAUCAGGGAUAGGAUGGGCU